rnacentral:rRNA from 1 species
UACGUAGGGUGCAAGCGUUAAUCGGAAUUACUGGGCGUAAAGCGUGCGCAGGCGGUUAUGCAAGACAGAUGUGAAAUCCCCGGGCUCAACCCUGGGAACUGCAUUUGUGACUGCAUAGCUAGAGUGCGGCAGAGGGAGAUGGAAUUCCGCGUGUAGCAGUGAAAUGCGUAGAUAUGCGGAGGGAACACCGAUGGCGAAGGCAAUCUCCUGGGGCCUGCACUGACGCUCAUGCGACGAA